ACGUUAAUAGUGUAGAGGUAGAAUAUUUGCCUUCCAAGUAAAUGGCCCGGAUUCGAUUUCCGGUUAUCGGA
rnacentral:tRNA from 1 species